GGUGCUUGCAUCUUGAUUUAAUUUUGAACGAGUGGCGGACGGGUGAGUAACACGUGGGUAACCUGCCCUUAAGUGGGGGAUAACAUUUGGAAACAGAUGCUAAUACCGCAUAAAUCCAAGAACCGCAUGGUUCUUGGCUGAAAGAUGGCGUAAGCUAUCGCUUUUGGAUGGACCCGCGGCGUAUUAGCUAGUUGGUGAGGUAACGGCUCACCAAGGCAAUGAUACGUAGCCGAACUGAGAGGUUGAUCGGCCACAUUGGGACUGAGACACGGCCCAAACUCCUACGGGAGGCAGCAGUAGGGAAUCUUCCACAAUGGACGCAAGUCUGAUGGAGCAACGCCGCGUGAGUGAAGAAGGCUUUCGGGUCGUAAAACUCUGUUGUUGGAGAAGAAUGGUCGGCAGAGUAACUGUUGUCGGCGUGACGGUAUCCAACCAGAAAGCCACGGCUAACUACGUGCCAGCAGCCGCGGUAAUACGUAGGUGGCAAGCGUUAUCCGGAUUUAUUGGGCGUAAAGCGAGCGCAGGCGGUUUUUUAAGUCUGAUGUGAAAGCCCUCGGCUUAACCGAGGAAGUGCAUCGGAAACUGGGAAACUUGAGUGCAGAAGAGGACAGUGGAACUCCAUGUGUAGCGGUGAAAUGCGUAGAUAUAUGGAAGAACACCAGUGGCGAAGGCGGCUGUCUGGUCUGUAACUGACGCUGAGGCUCGAAAGCAUGGGUAGCGAACAGGAUUAGAUACCCUGGUAGUCCAUGCCGUAAACGAUGAAUGCUAGGUGUUGGAGGGUUUCCGCCCUUCAGUGCCGCAGCUAACGCAUUAAGCAUUCCGCCUGGGGAGUACGACCGCAAGGUUGAAACUCAAAGGAAUUGACGGGGGCCCGCACAAGCGGUGGAGCAUGUGGUUUAAUUCGAAGCAACGCGAAGAACCUUACCAGGUCUUGACAUCUUUUGAUCACCUGAGAGAUCAGGUUUCCCCUUCGGGGGCAAAAUGACAGGUGGUGCAUGGUUGUCGUCAGCUCGUGUCGUGAGAUGUUGGGUUAAGUCCCGCAACGAGCGCAACCCUUAUGACUAGUUGCCAGCAUUUAGUUGGGCACUCUAGUAAGACUGCCGGUGACAAACCGGAGGAAGGUGGGGAUGACGUCAAAUCAUCAUGCCCCUUAUGACCUGGGCUACACACGUGCUACAAUGGAUGGUACAACGAGUUGCGAGACCGCGAGGUCAAGCUAAUCUCUUAAAGCCAUUCUCAGUUCGGACUGUAGGCUGCAACUCGCCUACACGAAGUCGGAAUCGCUAGUAAUCGCGGAUCAGCACGCCGCGGUGAAUACGUUCCCGGGCCUUGUACACACCGCCCGUCACACCAUGAGAGUUUGUAACACCCGAAG
rnacentral:rRNA from 2 species